rnacentral:rRNA from 1 species
UGGGGAAUUUUGGACAAUGGGCGAAAGCCUGAUCCAGCAAUGCCGCGUGUGUGAAGAAGGCCUUCGGGUUGUAAAGCGCUUUUGUCCGGAAAGAAAUCCUUGGCUCUAAUACAGUCGGGGGAUGACGGUACCGGAAGAAUAAGCACCGGCUAACUACGUGCCAGCAGCCGCGGUAAUACGUAGGGUGCAAGCGUUAAUCGGGAAUUACUGGGCGUAAAGCGUGCGCAGGCGGUUUGCUAAGACCGAUGUGAAAUCCCCGGGCUCAACCUGGGAACUGCAUUGGUGACUGGCAGGCUAGAGUAUGGCAGAGGGGGGUUAGAAUUCCACGUGUAGCAGUGAAAUGCGUAGAGAUGUGGAGGAUACGAUGGCGAAGGCAGCCCCCUGGGCCAAUACUGACGCUCAUGCACGAAAGCGUGGGGAGCAAACAGGAUUAGAUACCCUGGUAGUCCACGCCCUAAACGAUGUCAACUAGUUGUUGGGGGAUUCAUUUUCCUUAGUAACGUAGCUAACGCGUGAAGUUGACCGCCUGGGGAGUACGGUCGCAAGAUUAAAACUCAAUGAAUUGAC